UCAGGGAGGAUCCCUCCAAGGCCCCAGGGGGAAGGGGGAGAGGGGGAGGCUCGGGGCAGCGUCCUCGGUGCCGCCGGUUUGGGGCCACGGGGGCAAGGCGUGGGGACAGACGGACGGACAGACAGAGAGCUGGCACUUCCAGAAACCGCCGUAACGUGGCUUCGCUUUCCAUUUUUACUGAGCAGAAUGAAAAAACGAUCCUUCCGAAGCAAGUAGAAAAUUCAGGAAUUAUUAGUCGAAGGCACAUAUUCUAAAAAAAUCUCUUUACAUAUAUACAUCUCAAUUAAUUAUAAAUACACNNNNNNNNNNGGCAGCCCUUCCCCUCGGCGCCGAGGAUUCAGCAAGCGCCAAGCGAGCAAACCGGGACAUGUGUUGUGAAUCAGGAAAUAUCUUAAAUAGAGGCUGGGGAAGGGGAGAGCCCUGCCCUUGCUCUGCUCAGGACUCGAACAGGCUGCUGCUCACCCUGAGAUGCAGCAGCUCCCGGGGCAGCAGCCGGGGGCUCCCCUCUUUGGUGCGGGCUGUGAGGUAAGGAGGUUCCCUCGCACGGUAAAACAGCGGGGCGAAGCGCUGCUGGGAGGCGAUGGCAGCUGGGGGAAGGAGAAGCCCCCACACAAAGGGCAGGGAGCGGUCUCGCAGUGUUGGGCAGGCGUGACCUGAAGCAAACGGGGUGCCUGGAUGGUCCUGCAGCCCGGGGGGGUCGCAGCUCUCUGCCUGGGCGAGGGGCUCAUCCAGGCACACGGAGCUCCAGCCCCAUCAUGACUUCCCUGUCCGGGCAGGGGGACCCCGGCAGAGGCCUCUCCGGGCUGGGCCUCCCUCCCCAGGUCCUCGCUGAGGAAGGGCCGGGCCAGCUGGGGAAGGUCUCGCUCUCGCAUCCUUCCCCUGGAAGCGUCCUGGUGCAGCUCCCAGGAACACCUCGGUGACUCGAGGCAGAGAAAAACCCGGCAGCGGGGAGGCUCGCAGGGGAGAUCCCAGCCCGCAGCACUCCUGCCAGCAAGGCAGCUUCCCAGCAGGCUCCUUAGGUUAGGCAGAGAAAACAAAAGAAUUUCCCCGGGACCCGCCGAGGCGCGAUGCUGCUGGGGCAGGGGUGGUGGCAGAGGAGGCCGGAGGCGACCUCUGUCCCGGGGGGAAGGCAGCGGGCCCGGCCCUGCUGGCCGGGUGCUGCGGGAGAGGCAGGCGGGCUGCCUGGGGCAGUGCUUUGCAAAGCAG
rnacentral:lncRNA from 1 species